UCUCCCUCACGCCGCCAGGAGACAGCUAGCGCUGCCGUCUCUCGAUCUCCCUUCCCCUCCUUCCGCCAGCACCUCCCACUCCGCCGCCUCUCUCCCUUUCCCCGUCCCUCUAGUGCCGUCGUCGCCCCGCCUCCAUUUGGCUCCUUCGCCGGAGGCCGCCGACGCGGCCCUGCCGGACACUGGCGACCCGGAGCGCCGGCACGCCCACAGCUGCCAUGGAUCCCGCAGACGAGCCACCGCCUUGCACCGCCCCUCCCUCUCGCAUCCUCGCUGUGGUCCCGCGCGCUGCCCGACGACCCUGCUGCUCGUCGGUGAGCCGUGCCCCUACACCUCCUCCCGUGCCCAUUCCUGGUGCCGCGGGACCGCUACUUCGUCAUCCAAUCGCAGGCCAUGGUGGCAGGUAGGAACCCUGGCUUCUCUUGCAGCCGAUGUGCCCUAACCUUGGCCUCCUGUUCACGUCGACCUGAAGACCGCGCGAGACCUCCGCCACGCCUCGCUAGCUACUGUUGCAUCGCCGUGUUCCGUUCAUCCUCUGCUCACACCUCCAUCCAGGGCGCCUCUCGUCGUGAACAGGAAAACAUGUACCACUACCGUCGAGGACCAAUAGUACCACUACUUCUACUACCAUCGCAGAACGACUACUUCCUCUACUUCCCUCGACGAACUCGAACCGCCCCGGAAAAGCACGCUUCGAAGGUUGCCUCUCUCGUUAGCUUCGGUUUCGUUUCGGAGUUGUGAGGAUUCGUUCAAUUCCGUCUAUUUAUCUUCUUCAUGGACUCAUUCUUCUUCCUUGCUGGAUCUCAUGCAAGAUAACCAUACCCUCGAUGUCACUUCUAUCUUU